rnacentral:ncRNA from 2 species
UUGUCGAAAAGAGGUCGCAGAUAAUAUUAGUAAUUAUCCGGAGAUAUUAAAGUAUUACUGAUGGAUAAUGAAAGGAGCAUCUGCCGAAGCUAAUGUUGCUUUAACGGCAUUAAGCUGGGGUUCAGCCUAAUAAGCUGAAAACUGUCGCAAGUAAUUGCGGAGCGCUAUCGAGUAU